AUUGAACGCUGGCGGCAUGCCUUACACAUGCAAGUCGAACGGCAGCACGGGAGCAAUCCUGGUGGCGAGUGGCGAACGGGUGAGUAAUAUAUCGGAACGUGCCCGGUCGUGGGGAUAACGUAGCGAAAGCUACGCUAAUACCGCAUACGAUCUACGGAUGAAAGCGGGGGAUCGCAAGACCUCGCGCGAUUGGAGCGGCCGAUAUCAGAUUAGGUAGUUGGUGAGGUAAAGGCUCACCAAGCCGACGAUCUGUAGCUGGUCUGAGAGGACGACCAGCCACACUGGGACUGAGACACGGCCCAGGACUCCUACGGGAGGCA
rnacentral:rRNA from 1 species